GAGGAUGCAGACAUUGAAAGACCAAGUAUGAUCAGAUUUCAGGGGUUUGCUGGUGUUAUUGUGCUAAAGACUAAAACUACCUUCCAGCAGCUGACACUGAAAGACUGCUGGAGGAGCUGGGAUUUCAUGAAGGCUAUGUGAAACGAGUUGAGUUCUGGAAAACUGGAAAAUAUGGGAGAGUUCUGCCCAGUGGAACAGUAUGAGCAAAGUAAUAGAGGAGCCAGUGUUACAGCUGUCAUAUCGCCCAUCAAUCAACUGCAUCAUUAUUUCCUUAUGAUAACCCCCAUCAUCCAUCAAUUGCAUCACCAUGGCCUUAUUCGUCUGCCUGCCUGAUGAUAAUAUCCUGUUCUGUAAAUAAACC